rnacentral:lncRNA from 1 species
CUAAGGGACUGCGUGAGUUCGGCCGAGGGAACCGGGUCCAGGCGCUGUGAGGAGGCAAGGACCUAGGCACGUGUGGCCAGACGUGGGUCCCCUCCUGUCCUGUUCCUUAUCAGGGACGUGAGCACCUGAUCUGCAUUUCUUGGAGCAGCAAAAGGGUGGAAUUCAGGCCCUGCCAGGAAAAAGGUGAGGGCCCUGCGUGAGUACAGAGGGGACAAUCCACUCCAUGAGAGUGGGAACGUCACAGAGUCCAGUCCACCCUCCUGAUAGCACUGAGGGCCCAGGGCUGUGCUUGCAGUCUGCACCCUGAGGGCCCAUGGAUUCCUCUUCAAGGAGCUCCAGGAACCAGGCAGUGAGGCCUUGGUCUGAGACAGUGUCCUCAUGUCACAGAGCAGAGGAUGCACAGGCGGUGCCAGUAGCUAAUGUUUGCCCUGAAUGCACAUUAAGGGCCCCACCUGCCAUGGGACUCCAGAGAGUCUGGCCUCACCUCUCUACUGUGGUCAGUCCUGAAGAAUCGACCUCUGCUGGCCAGCUGUACCCUGAGGUGCCCUCUCAAUUCUUCCUUCAGGUUCUAAGGGAACAGGCCAACCCGGAGGACAGGAUUCCCUGGAGGCCACAGAGGAGCACCAAGGAGAAGAUCUACUAGUAAUUUCCAGUUUCUUCUCUACCAGUCUGGAUGCCCAUGGUGAACUUUAGAGAUAUCCACCAGCUUCAUCAAUUCCCUCAGUUACAUCUACCUAUCUUUUGAGCCCAGAUGAACCCAAUCAUGUGUGUUCUCCUCAGUCCCAGGCUGCUGAGCAACGCUGGAGAAAAAUCACAAAACUAUACGGUUUGGUGUCUCUCCAGAAUUAUGGUUUCCAGCUUGAGUUGGGAUUUCAGAAUUACUUCAAAAUGUUUAAAUUUGCUCCUGGUCAUUUUCCUCCUUCAGUUCCCAGUUUCAUUUAUCACUCUAUUUAACUUGUUAACCAUCGCUGUCUGCUAUUAACCUUGCCUCCUUUUACACAGAGAAAACAGAGGACAUCAAAUGGCAUUUCCCAUCACUCCACCUCUGUCAACGAAUCCACCAGUAACAUCUCAGAGAUCCUUCUGUCUAGCACUGAUGAUCUCCAAGAGGAUCUUAUUGUAUCAGUUACUCCUUCCUUCUGUAUUUUCAAUUUUCCUAUUGCCUCCCCAACAUGCUUUAGCUGUUCUCAUCUAAAGAAACAAUAAUAACAACCACAAUAAACUAACAAACAAUAAACCAUCUUUAACAGAUCUUACCUUUCCCUCUUUUGUGCCACCUUCAAGCUCCCUAAACUUGGAUUUAUUCCUCAACCCAUUACAAUCUGGUUUCUAAUUAAACAAUUUUUUGCCAGCGUCACCAAAAACUUCUG